rnacentral:rRNA from 1 species
GUGGGGAAUAUUGGGCAAUGGGCGAAAGCCUGACCCAGCAACGCCGCGUGAAGGAAGAAGGUUUUCGGAUCGUAAACUUCUAUCCUUGGUGAAGAUAAUGACGGUAGCCAAGAAGGAAGCCCCGGCUAACUACGUGCCAGCAGCCGCGGUAAUACGUAGGGGGCAAGCGUUGUCCGGAAUGAUUGGGCGUAAAGGGCGCGUAGGCGGCCCGGUAAGUCUGAAGUGAAAGUCCUGCUUUUAAGGUGGGAAUUGCUUUGGAUACUGUCGGGCUUGAGUGCAGGAGAGGUAAGCGGAAUUCCAGGUGUAGCGGUGAAAUGCGUAGAGAUCGGGAGGAACACCAGUGGCGAAGGCGGCUUACUGGACUGUAACUGACGCUGAGGCGCGAAAGUGUGGGGAGCAAACAGGAUUAGAUACCCCGGUAGUCC